AGCUGCAAGCUCAUUCCAGCCGAUCACACAAACAAAGACAAGGCUUAUAGUGCAUACAUGUUUUCUGGAAGAUUUUAAUGAAAUAGAUAGCUGGUUAGAUACACAUUCACUGAUUCAAGCAUGGUUUAACUUUACCUUGGCUCUUGUCUAGAUUUCUAUUCAAAUUCCUAUUUUUUGAGAACUUUUAUUUCCCUUGUUUGUUUCAGCCUGGCAAUUUCUGCCCCACGCAACCAAGAGAUCUCUAACUGGCACACAUUCUUGUGUCUGAGUCACAUCAUUCCAUGGCGCUUUGGGCUGCAGGCUGAUGUAACAGGAAACGCCUUGCCGCGUCUCACAGGCCUGGCCCUGGGGCAAGCCUUCCUGACGACUGGCAGCACAGGACCUGAGGCCCCUCCUUGGCUCUCCUGUCAGUGCUCCCCCGGCCUGCUGGGCUGCCCGGAGCUCUCAAAAGGAAAACCUUCUUUAUGAGCGUCCACCCUCCAGGUGGCUUGUGAACUUGGCCUCCCACUGGGGUAUGCCUGCUUUCUCUCAGGGAUGGGAUCGUGAACAUCAAACUGGAGGCCCAUUUCCCCAAUAGUGUGGCCUUCCAGAGCCAGAACGCUGUCCUCUUUGGCAGCAACGAAUGGAGACCAUGGAGUUGCCAGGUAAAUUUGUAGGUCAGUUGGAAUUUCAGAUCAAUGGCAAAUGAUUUUUAGUAUAAAUAUGUUUCAUGCAUUAAUUGUAAAGGAGGCAAAACACUUACACUAAAAAGUUUUUGUUUACUUGAAAUUCUAAUUUAAGUGGGCAUCCUGCUUUUAUUCAUUUGGUUUUUUGUUUCUGCUAAAUCUGGCAACACUAAAUCCACAUUGUUUUACUAACACCAUCUCAGGAUGGUGACAUUCAGACAUCACAAUCAUCAACCCCUGCCUUUGAGAAAGCACAGCAAUCAGUUAUCAGUGUUAAUGUUAACGUCUGACACAUGGGGCUGCAGCCACACCAGGUGACCGUCCUUGUUCAGGCAGGAUGCUUUAAAUGGGACUGCUUGCCUAGCUUUGCCUUCAGAGUUGUGACUCUCAUAGGUGGUGUUCCUCCUGUCUAUCUAUAAAACAAUGGAGAGAGUGUCUCUUUAGCUCCAGGACCUUGUAAAGGUGAGAAAAUGAUUGGGGCACCUGGGUGGCUCAAGUUUGUAGAGGGUCCGGCUUGGCUUAGGUCAUGAUCUCGCAGUUUGUGGGUGUGAGCCCUGCGUGGGGCUCUGUGCCGAGAGAUUCUGUCUCCCUCCCUCUCUC